UACGGAGGGAGCUAGCGUUGUUCGGAAUUACUGGGCGUAAAGCGCGCGUAGGCGGCCUUGCAAGUUAGAGGUGAAAUCCUGGAAGCUCGAACUCCCAGAACUGCCUUUGAUACUGAGGAUCUUGAGUUCGGGAGAGGUGGAGUGGAACUGCGAGUGUAGAGGUGAAAAUUCGUAGAUAUCGGGAGGAACACCUGUGGCGAAAGCGGCGCACUGGACCAUAACUGACGCUGAUGCGCGAAAGCUAGGGGAGCAAACAGG
rnacentral:rRNA from 1 species